UUUUCUUUCUUAUUCCCGUUCCCUCUUCUCUGUCGCUCUCGGUUUGUUUUUCCUUUUGUUCUCCACUGUCUGCUUCCCUUUCGUUUUCUUUUGUGUUUUGGUCAUCUCAGCCCCGCUUUUCUCGCUUUACAGCUACUUCCUUCUCUGGACAGCUCUUUGUGGCAUAUGGUGGUUUAGUUGCACCCUGCACACAUGCAGCUCAAGGAUGACCCCAAAUUGUUCCUCCUGAAAUGAUGUUGUGUUUAUUUGUAAAUUUUGCUGCUCAUCUGCAAUUCACCUUUUGUCUUUUGAUAUCUUUUACAGGUGCAAAACGCCAUAGAGUAUUUAAACAUCAUCGGGGCCUUGGAUGAGAACGAGAAUCUGAUUGUUUUAGUUCUAUACUAAACUAAAGGAAACAACCCAAAUGAGUCUUUCCAUCAGGAUCGCCCAGUCCACCAAGAGCCUCCAACUUGAAACCAAACGGGCAAAAAACAAGUAGAGAUAAUGUGUGAUCAUGAUGAAAAGAUUAACAAGUUAGCAUUUGAGGUUAUCGAGAAAGCCACUCCGGUUUCAAGGCUCACCAUGUUCUCCUCUUGCAAGUUCUAUAAGCACUAGGUGGAUCAUAAGGUCAAUCAUGUGCGAAUUCCGUUGGCAAUCACUUUCAGAAACCACUACAAAGGUUACUACCCAAAAACCCUGCUCAGCUGCAAAUAAAGGCCCAUCACUGACUGUUAAGAAGGCAUACAUUAACAGCUCUGAAUCUAAAGAGAGCUCUGAAUCUGAAGAUGAGGUUUGUGUUCAUGCUUAAAUAUUUGUAUCAUCUGAAAAACUUGCCUUUACAUGUUCUAUACAGUUUUGAAACACAAAAUAGCACACCUUUGUUUAUCUAUGGAUAUAUUUCCAAAAUAUUUUAAACACUCACGGCAACGCGUGGGCACUUUUUCUAGUGUCAUCUAAGGACUAAUUAGUUGCAAUGAUGCAAGGGUCGGAGACACCACACAUGCCUUGUGGAUAUGUCUUUGAUCAUUGGACAAUGUGACAAAGUACAUGGCUCAUCUUGGGCCUGUUCCUAGAGCAUUGUUAAGGUCGUUAAUUUAUUCAUAGAGACAUGUGAUUGUACAAUAAAGGAUCUUUAACCUUCCAUAGUGGAAUAAAAAUACUCUAAAAUAUGAUUCGAGAGUCUUGGCAAAAGCAUAUGAAUAUGACUUAGGAAGAAUGUUCCAAAUCAUAUUCACAAGAAUCAUAUAGAGAAGUAUCACGUUGGAUAGUAGACAUGAAAUAAAUUAUUAACCAAACAAUUUGGUCAAGAGUAUUGAAUUAAAGUGGGACCAUAUUUCAUUGUAGUUGUAACUAAAUAGGUUAUCUAACUACUUCUACUUAACUUGGGUAGCCAUGAUAUACUGCUAGGUGUCAUUAAUAGUUUGUCAAAGCCCUAAAGAUUAGCAAUCACUAAUCUUCAUCAUAGGCAGAAUAGAAAAUAAGUCAAUUCACAAUCGAUUAUAAGAGGUACAAUCUCUCACUGCCUCGCUGAUUGGGAACCUAAUGGAUCGUACACCAUAUAAUGAAGAACAUGAAGAAAUAUAAAUAAGAUGGAUAAGAUCAAUUAAAUAGUUUAAUUGAGUAUAGUGAAGUUCCAUUAAUAAGUUAAUUAAUCAUACGAAUAAGUUUGUAUUGGGCUCUAAAAUAGUUUAGGGUUUUCGAGGCCCAAUGGCUUUGCUUCAGAAGGCCCAUUAGGCUUAAGUUUAUGACAACUUAAGACCAAAGGAACAAAAAUCCCAAUAUUAAAGGGCAAGGCGGGCUAUGCUAGAGGGUAGAGACUAAUACACCCAUGCCACUCAAGUUAGAGUGACUGUAAAAGGGGUGUUAUAACUACAACCUCAUUAGGAUUGUUAGAGUAUAAAACUUGGAGGUACAUUCUCUCCUUUUCUCUCUAUAACAGCCCGGCCACUGUAGGAGGAUAAUCCUCCUUUAGUUCUUCCAUCUCAUCUUCACAUCUCACCCUUGGUGUGAGUUAGAAGCACUAUCCUUUUGAUGCUUGAAGAAUCAUUUCAUCAAAUCCUCAAGGAGCAGAGGAGCAAGGAAUGAGCAAAGAUCCAAGGAUUCAAGGAGUUAAAUCCAUGGAGCAUAAGAAGAAGAUUGAAGGUCCUCGCAUGGGUGAAAACCUUGUGAAAACAAGAAUGAACUUCAAGGGUAUGAAAGCUCAAUCUUUCUUCUUUCUUUUAUGAAAAGAGUCUUGGUUCACCUCAAGCCCUUGAAUUUCAUGGGACCUACAUUUGUUUUGAGUUCAUGCUUUCAUUUGAUUGUUAAUAUAUUCAUGUGUUGCUCAAAUAAUCUCUACAUAGCCAAAGCUUUUCCUUCAAACCAGGCAUCGUGAGUUUGAUUCAUAUUACACUAUUGUCACAGUGGCGUAAGUUUGAUAAGCGUGCGCUUUAUAUAUUAAAUGUUAGGACCGUGUACCUUUUCUUUUCCCUUAUUUUAUGAUUAGUCACCUCUUUAUUAUAUAGGCAUCUCAGUUAUGAGUUCAAUUUUGAACUCAAAAAUAAGAAUUGCUCUCCUUGCACUCAAAUUUUCCCGGCCCAAUGUAAGAAUUUGAUUCCCAACUAAUUUUAGGGGUGUGCUAUCCAUACAACCUUUUUUACUUCUUACACACAUCUUGUUACUUUCUGUCAUUUGAUCUGACGGCCGGAAAUUGAGAAGGGUAUGUGAGAAGUAAAAAGAGGUGUGUAGAUAGCACACCUAAUUUUUUCACACAAUUUUCCAGCUCAUUGUGAAAGGACUAAUUUAUGAGGAAGGCAAUUGGAACCGGAGUACAAUGGACAGACACCUCUAUCCAUUAUCCGUCCCUCUGUGGAAAGCCUAAUAUAUGAGAAGGGCAAUUUGAACUUGGGUGCAAUUAGCUUGUUUAUUAUCCAGAAUGAAUUGUUGUAGUGGCGAUUUUGCAAAGCAAAAAUGAGAUGUUUAUUUAAUUUUAAGGUGGAGAUUUUCACUCCUCCAUUCGUAAUCCA